rnacentral:rRNA from 1 species
AUUGAACGCUGGCGGCAGGCCUAACACAUGCAAGUCGAACGGUAACAGGAAGCAGCUUGCUGCUUUGCUGACGAGUGGCGGACGGGUGAGUAAUGUCUGGGAAACUGCCUGAUGGAGGGGGAUAACUACUGGAAACGGUAGCUAAUACCGCAUAACGUCGCAAGACCAAAGAGGGGGACCUUAGGGCCUCUUGCCAUCGGAUGUGCCCAGAUGGGAUUAGCUAGUAGGUGGGGUAACGGCUCACCUAGGCGACGAUCCCUAGCUGGUCUGAGAGGAUGACCAGCCACACUGGAACUGAGACACGGUCCAGACUCCUACGGGAGGCAGCAGUGGGGAAUAUUGCACAAUGGGCGCAAGCCUGAUGCAGCCAUGCCGCGUGUAUGAAGAAGGCCUUCGGGUUGUAAAGUACUUUCAGCGGGGAGGAAGGGAGUAAAGUUAAUACCUUAGCUCAUUGACGUUACCCGCAGAAGAAGCACCGGCUAACUCCGUG